UACGAAGGGGACUAGCGUUGUUCGGAAUUACUGGGCGUAAAGCGCACGUAGGCGGAUUUGUUAGUCAGGGGUGAAAUCCCGGGGCUCAGCCUCGGAACUGCCUUUGAUACUGCAAGUCUCGAGUCCGAUAGAGGUGGGUGGAAUUCCUAGUGUAGAGGUGAAAUUCGUAGAUAUUAGGAAGAACACCAGUGGCGAAGGCGGCUCACUGGUCCGGUACUGACGCUGAGGUGCGAAAGCGUGGGGAGCAAACAGG
rnacentral:rRNA from 1 species